AGAAAGCCUGUACUGCUAGCCGGGCGUCCGAAUCAACUAAUGGCUCAUCGUGAUGGUGGGGUGAGGGCAAGCUCAUUUAAGUUUGGAAGGAGGCAGCAGCUGCCGUGAUUGGGUGCAAAUCUCUCACGGUUUCCUCAGCGCGGGGCACCUGCGGAGUGCAACGGCUGCGCCGUGCUCCGGCUGCUCACGUGCUCGGGUCACUUCUCAGCGAGGCGCGCAGCUGCACGGUCGGGCUCAGAAGUACCACUUGUGAAAUCUCACAAAGUUUUCCCUCCGUAUUUGUUCUGUGAAGCAGUUCUUAACCUGUGAGAGUGAGCCUCCUGGCAUCUCUGUCAGCCUUUACUGGAGAAAAGCACCUUGGGCACUCGGUGGGAGUUGUGUUGGUGUGUGCUGCGAGGAGGACGCCCGGGGGCUGACCGGAGGGCAUGGCUGGAAGCUGCUGCUGCAGAGCUGGUACCUGUCUGUUCUGCACUGCUGGGCCCAGGAGUUUCGUUUUCUGAGAACAGUAGAAAUACAGUCCUCAGCUGUACAGUUUCGCAGUCGUGUUCUGCACCUGAAUAAACUACCCUUCAUAUUAGAAUAUCUGUCACACGCAGCUAGAAAGGAGAGUUGGAGCACAGACAGAAGCAGAUCACUGGCAGCACCACAGAAUGCACCUGCCCAUGACAGCAGGCACUGCUCCCCUGGGGGCUUCUGAAUGUUCUGAUUCAAAGAUCUGCGAGAUGAAUUUUGAAGCUUUUCCUGAAAUCAGGGUGUAUAUGAACAUCUUUAAUUUCUGUUCUUUUGCAGUACUACUCUUCUUUGUUUAACGAUCUG
rnacentral:lncRNA from 1 species